UUAAAGAUUAAGCCCAUGCAUGUGUAAGUACAAUGUUUUAAACAUGAAACCGCGGAAAGCUCAUUAUAACAGCUAUAGACUACACGGUAAAUAUUUUAGUUGGAUAACUGAGGUAAUUCUUGAGCUAAUACACGCUAUUUAUACCACAUUAGUGGUGCGUUUAUUUGAUUAAACCAUUAUAACGGUUGACUCAAAAUAUCCUUGCUGAUUUUGUUACUAAAACAUACCGUAUGUGUAUCUGGUUUAUCAACUUUCGAUGGUAGGGUAUUGGCCUACCAUGGUUGUGACGGAUAACGGAGAAUUAGGGUUCGACUCCGGAGAGGGAGCCUGAGAAACGGCUACCACAUCCAAGGAAGGCAGCAGGCACGAAAAUUACCCAAUUUUAGUUCAAAGAGGUAGUGACGAAAAAUGACAACCAAAUAUUAUUAUUUCUAUUUGGAUUGAAAAUCUUCAAGUUUAAAUAACUUGUUGGUAAAGGAAAGGGCAAGUCUGGUGCCAGCAGCCGCGGUAAUACCAGCUUUCCAAGUGCAUAAAAUGAUUGUUGUGGUUAAAAAGCUCGUAGUUGGAUUAUAAAGAUUGUAUAAUGAGCAUCUUGGAUGUUUUAAUUUCAUUAUCAUCUUAUUAUUUUUAUUAUAUACCUUUAUCAGUAUAUAAUAAACUGUUACUUUGAAUAAAUCAGAGGGUUUAAACCAGGCAUUUAUAUGCUUGUAUGGUCUAGCAUGGAAUAACACUAUAGAAAAAGUUAGUGUGGUUUCACUAAUCUUUUUCAUGAUUAAUAGGAACAAACGGGGGCAUUCGUAUCGCUACGUUAGAGGUGAAAUUCUUGGACCGUAGCGAGACGUCCUACUGCGAAAGCAUUUGCCAAGAAUGUUUUCAUUAAUCAAGAACGAAAGUUAGAGGUUCGAAGGCGAUCAGAUACCGCCCUAGUUCUAACCGUAAACUAUGCCUACUAGGUGUAUGAAUUAUUAGUUAUAAUAAUUUAUGCACCUUCUCGGAAACGAAAGUCUUUCGGUUCCGGGGGAAGUAUGGUUGCAAAGCUGAAACUUAAAGGAAUUGACGGAAGGGCACCACCAGGAGUGGAGCCUGCGGCUUAAUUUGACUCAACACGGGAAAACUCACCCGGGCCGGACACUAUAAGGAUUGACAGAUUGAUAGCUCUUUCAUGAUUUAGUGGUUGGUGGUGCAUGGCCGUUCUUAGUUCGUGGAUAGAUUUGUCUGGUUGAUUCCGAUAACGAGCGAGACUUUUAUGUUAUAUU
rnacentral:rRNA from 1 species